GAUGAACGCUGGCGGCGUGCCUAAUACAUGCAAGUCGAGCGAACAGACGAGGAGCUUGCUCCUCUGACGUUAGCGGCGGACGGGUGAGUAACACGUGGAUAACCUACCUAUAAGACUGGGAUAACUUCGGGAAACCGGAGCUAAUACCGGAUAAUAUAUUUAACCGCAUGGUUCAAUAGUGAAAGACGGUUUUGCUGUCACUUAUAGAUGGAUCCGCGCCGCAUUAGCUAGUUGGUAAGGUAGCGGCUUACCAAGGCAACGAUGCGUAGCCGACCUGAGAGGGUGAUCGGCCACACUGGAACUGAGGCACGGUCCAGACUCCUACGGGAGGCAGCAGUAGGGAAUCUUCCGCAAUGGGCGAAAGCUUGACGGAGCAACGCCGCGUGAGUGAUGAAGGUCUUCGGAUCGUAAAACUCUGUUAUUAGGGAAGAACAAAUGUGUAAGUAACUAUGCACGUCUUGACGGUACCUAAUCAGAAAGCCACGGCUAACUACGUG
rnacentral:rRNA from 1 species